UCUGCUCCMUGAUUAUUAAUUAAAUAGCUGCMGUAAUUUGACUGUACAAAGGUAGCAUAAUCAAUAGUUUUUUAAUUGAAAGCUGGAAUGAAAGAUUUAAUAAGGUGAAUAUUGUCUCAAUUUUAGUAAAAUUAGAAUUUUUUUUUUAGUAAAAAUACUAAAUUGAAUUUAAAAGACGAGAAGACCCUAUAGAUUUUUAUAAUUUUAAUUAAAAAAAAUUUAAAUUAAAUAAUAAAUUUUAAUAAAAAAUUAUUUGGUUGGGGAAAUUAUUAAAUUUAAUAAAUUUUAAUUAAUUUAAAACAAAAAUUAUUGAGUAAUAUGAUCUUAAUUAAAAAUUUAAAGAAUAAAAUACCUUAGGGAUAACAGCGUAAUUUUUUUGGAGAGAUCUUAUUGAUAAAAAAGUUUGCGACCUCGAUGUUGAAUUAAGAUAAAAUUUUAAUGAAGAAGUUAAAAAUUUUUGGUCUGUUCGACCAUUAAAAUCUUACGUGAU
rnacentral:rRNA from 1 species